CAUAUCUAAGCAAUAUCACUAUCGGCAGAUAUUUUUCAAUUUAUGCAGAAUAUUUUCAGUUUAUUCCAUUUGUAUUUACCGUUAAUUCUGUAGACGAUUGUGGAAUUUUCUUCCGCUUCUUUCAAUAAACAAUAUUGUGACAUCUGUCGUGAAAAGAGACGUUUUGAUUCCAAAAUUUAUGCAUUUGUCUUUUCCGAGAGGUGCAUUUUAUUAUCAACGAACGAAAUGGAAAGUCUGAGACUUGAAUAUGCCAUAAUUCUUUAAUCUUAUUUUACAGGAAUAGAGCAAAACACGUCCGUAGAGAACCAUUAUAUAUCUACUGACAUUGAUAGUAAAGCAAUUGAAUUUUGAACAGUAUUAACAGCCAGAAAAUGUUUCGUUGGGAAACGCAGUAUUUUAUUUCAUGUUAUUGAUUUUCAAGACAUUUUUUUAAAAUUCGGGUUCUAAACAUAUUUGGAAGAAAAAAACGUUAGGGAUCUGUUGAAAAAAAAAGCCUACAUAAAGAGAAAAACGGUAAAAAGAAUUAAAACUGAAGAUCUUUCACAGAAAGUGAAAUGGUAAACAAACAAGAUGGAAAGAAAGAGAGAGAGAGAAAGAGAGUGUGUGUGUGUGUGAAAGAGAGAGAAAGUGAAAUAGACAAUAGAGGAUAGAGAACGAAAGAGAGAAAUAAAGAGUGAGCAAGAAGAGGGAGAUAAAUAAGAAUAGGCAGGGGACGAUUAUUCCCUUUAUCUUAAAAGAGUUCCAUUAGAAUGCACAAUGGCCGGUAAUUUCUGGCAAAGUUCUCAUUAUCAGCAGUGGCUGCUGGAUCGACAAGACAUCCUCAGAGAAAGGCAAGCUGAUCUGAAAGUCCUCAGUGAAGAUGAAUAUCAGAAAAUCAUGGUUUUUUACUCAAAUUUUAUCCAAGCGUUAGGAGAACAACUGAAGAUGCGCCAACAAGUGAUAGCUUCAGCGACUGUGUAUUUCAAGAGAUUUUAUGCGAGGAAUUCCCUCCGGUCUAUUGAUCCAUGGUUAAUGGCUCCAACAUGUAUUUUUUUAGCUUCCAAAGUUGAGGAAUUUGGAGUAAUAUCAAAUAACAAGCUAAUGACUACUUGUCAAAAUGUUGUGAAAACCAAGUUCUCUCAUGCUUAUACCCAAGAAUAUCCUUAUCGUAUAAAUAGUGUUUUAGAGUGUGAGUUUUAUUUAUUAGAAAUGAUGGAUUGCUGUUUGGUUCUUUAUCAUCCGUAUCGACCUCUCAUACAAUAUUGUGCUGACCUUGGACAAGAUGACAACCUACUACCUGUAGCAUGGAGAAUAGUUAAUGAUAGUCUUAGAACUGACGUCUGUCUCAUGUACCCACCAUAUCUUAUAGCCCUAGCUUGUUUGCAUAUAGCAUGUGUAAUUCAAGACAAAGAUGGACGACAGUGGUUUGCAGAACUUUCAGUUGAUAUGGAUAAAGUUCUUGAAAUUACAAAACAAAUUUUAGCGUUUUAUGAACUGUGGAAAAAUUAUGAAGAAAAAAAGGAAAUUAUUGCAGUUCUUGUGAAAAUGCCAAAACCUAAGACCAGUCCAACCAGGCCUGCAUUACAAGGUCCAAAUGGGCAGGAAAACACUCAGUCCUUGCAGCCUUCCCAGCAAGCUCGUCAGAGUUAGGCAUCAAUGUUAUAAUCACCAUAGAGGAAAGACAGCUUGACUUAGAGCAAGUCUCAAACUACAUGUUACUACUCUCCCAUUCAAUGGUCCUCGUUAACUCAUUGAAACUUGUGUGCAACAACUGAGCUACUUGUUCAUCAUCGUCAUGAAGCAGACAUUUUGUACUCAGUGAUGACAUGCUGCAGAGAAGUGAGACAUUUAGACAGGUUUUAAACCUCUAAUGAACUUUCAAAACUAACGAAACUAAAUGGACUGCAUUGUAUGUUUGACCAAGUGACAUUUUAUCAGUCAGUGUCAACUCUGCAUUGAAUCAUUUAGAAAUGAAGCAAAAAUGCAACAGUAGUAACGGCGAGGAUUUUUAAUUCCCUCCUGGGGUCUUUGAGCAGUCUUACUCCUGAUGCAGCCAUCAUUCUCCUUCCUAAAGCUGGUUGCUUUAUCGUUUUAUUUAUUUAUUAUUUUUUUUAUUUCAAAGAAUUUGUAGAACUUAAAACUUAACAUACAGAAUCUUAUUGAAAACCAAAGCAGAACCUAUUAAAUUUUUUGAAUUGGUUUGACAAAAACAAUUUCUAAUUAGCAGAUAUUGAGUCAUUUAAAUGCAUCUGAACCCCUUCAUUAUGGAUAUUAAUUAAAAACUUACUGGAUUUGUAGUAGUUCUUUUAAAAUGUGAAAUACAGUAACAGAAUUUUCAAAAAGUUCCUCAAAUAUAAAAAUGCUUUAUAUUUUCUAUAAAUGUUGAUAGAUCAUCUCUAAAAUCACAAGAUUGUUUUUAUGUCUGAAUACCAAUGAGAAACUGCAAAAGAAAAUAAUCUUUAAGAACAAAGAUUAUCUGAAACUGCAACAAAUCUGUGGAUAUUUUAUUUUGACCUUUUCGGUUUUAGGUGUAAUGAUAAAAUCAGUAAUACACUUCGUUAAUAAGUUUUGCUUCAAAUUUUAAAUUGUCGUAAGUCAUUUGUAAUUAACAGCUGACUCUGUCCAGUGUCAAUAUUUAUCACAUCGUCUGAAGAUGAGAUUUUAGUUUCAUUUCAUCUCAAAAAGGGACCACAUUCAUUAGUUAAUAUUUUAUAAUUUUCUGUAUAUUCAGGAAAAAUAACACCAACACCAUUGUAAAUAUGUUUUUUUUUUUUUUUUCAUAAAUUCCUAUUUUUUUCCUAUUUUUCUUUCGUUGUUGGUAAUUUUCUUUGAUAAAUAAAGUGAUUAAUGAAAACUUC